UUCUGGACAGGUAAGGUCUUCUGAGAGGUGCCUGUGGGAUGCCCAAGUAGUGAUAUACACCAUCAGGUUGGAAAUACAGGUCUGGAGAUAAUUCAGAGGAACAUGACAAAAAAUAGAAACUCAGUCUCAAUCCAUUACUCAACAGAUCUCUUACAUGGUUGAGGAUAUCUUUGCUUCCCCCACUGGCCUGGAAACAUCCACUGCUCAUGGACCAUGAGCUACUUAUUAUAAUGCAGCGAAGGAUGAUGUCAGUGAUGUUGAAACCAGAAAAAGAAAGGCUUUCUUCUGUGCAUGUCCUGUCUCCAAUUUUUUAUUAAAUAGUAUUUAUGAUGAAAAUAGUACAUGCUCCAUGUUCUUAUUUCACUGGUAGAGAUGGUCAAUACAUAACAGACGAGCCUGGCCAUUAUUGAUGUUUUAAGUAAUUUAAGCAUUUUCUCAACAUGACAGUACUUUGAUUCUUUUUUUUUUUUUUUUUGUUCUGGGACUGUAACACAAACAAACCUGAAGCACUUUAUUUCCACUGACAGCAACUAUUUUGCUUUUAGAAUCUUUUUACUUUUUAUCACUGCUGAGUUACAUUGGAAUAGAAAAUCUGACAUUUGCUAAAUGUAAUACAUAGUCAUCCCAAAUUUUAAAUAUCAAAAAUUAAAGUUAUUUUCUUUAUUUGGAAAGAAAAACCUUCUAAGUGUUCAGUAGCUAGGAGUAGAUUUAAAUAUAUUGUGUAGUUUAUAUAUCCCAUAUCACUUGGCAUUGCCUCCAAAGGAUCUGACAUCAGAAAAUUCCAUGUGUCCUUAGAAUAUUUUGUUAUACAGAAAUAACUGGGGGUGCCUGGGUGGCUGAGUCCGUUGAGCAUCUGACUCGACUUCAGCUCAAGUCAUGAACUCCUGUUUGUGAGAUCUAGGUACCACUGCCACCCCCCACCCCCCAACUCCCUGCCCCCAACAUUGCUGUCAGUGAGAAGCCUGCUUGGGAUUCUUUCUCUCCCUCUCUCUCUGCCCCUCCCCUGUUCUCUGUGUGUUGUGUGUGUGUGUGUGUGUGUGUCUCAAAAUAAAUAAAUAAACUUAAAAAAAACCUGCUGGUUA
rnacentral:lncRNA from 1 species